GGGGUACUUUGGUUGUGACAUCUCCCCCUCCCCCCAGCUAUUGCCAGGGUUGAUUCUAUUCCUAUGGCUUGUUAUGUGGCUGUCUGACUCUUCUCUCAUGUUUGUUCCUCCCAAAGGCUGGUGCUCAGUCAACAAGGAAAACUUUUCCUGAACAGAGGAGGACAGUUCUGUCAAGGGUAGCUGAGUGACUGUGAUGCUCUGCUGGAACCUUUAAAUAAGCUCUUAAGCAUCACAGUUAAUUAAAAAAAAUGUUUUUUUUUU
rnacentral:snRNA from 1 species